GCUGGAGUGGCGGAAUUGGCAGACGCACAUGACUCAAAAUCCAGUGGGGCUCAAACUCCGUGUGGGUUCAAGUCCCACCUUCGGCACCA
rnacentral:tRNA from 1 species